UACGUAGGGCGCAAGCGUUGUCCGGAAUUAUUGGGCGUAAAGAGCUCGUAGGCGGUCUGUUACGUCUGCUGUGAAAACCCAGGGCUUAACCCUGGGCUUGCAGUGGAUACGGGCAGACUAGAGGCAGGUAGGGGAGAAUGGAAUUCCAGGUGUAGCGGUGAAAUGCGCAGAUAUCGGGAGGAACACCGGUGGCGAAGGCGGUUCUCUGGGCCUGACCUGACGCUGAGGAGCGAAAGCGUGGGGAGCGAACAGG
rnacentral:rRNA from 1 species